rnacentral:tRNA from 1 species
UAGCUCAGUUGGUAAAGGAUCUGCCUGCAAUGCAGGAGACCUGGGUUUGAUUCCCAG